CGCGGUAUUAUGGGGGGAACGUUUCGAAAGGAACGCUAAUACCGCAUACGUCCUACGGGAGAAAGCAGGGGACCUUCCGGUCUUGCGCUAUCAGAUGAGCCUAGGUCGGAUUAGCUAGUUGGUGGGGUAAUGGCUCACCAAGGCGACGAUCCGUAACUGGUCUGAGAGGAUGAUCAGUCGCACUGGAACUGAGACACGGUCCAGACUCCUACGGGAGGCAGCAGUGGGGAAUAUUGGACAAUGGGCGAAAGCCUGAUCCAGCCAUGCCGCGUGUGUGAAGAAGGUCUUCGGAUUGUAAAGCACUUUAAGUUGGGAGGAAGGGCAGUAAGUUAAUACCUUGCUGUUUUGACGUUACCGACAGAAUAAGCACCGGCUAACUCUGUGCCAGCAGCCGCGGUAAUACAGAGGGUGCAAGCGUUAAUCGGAAUUACUGGGCGUAUAGUGCGCGUAGGUGGUUCGUUAAGUUGGAUGUGAAAGCCCCGGGCUCAACCUGGGAACUGCAUCCAAAACUGGCGAGCUAGAGUAUGGUAGAGGGUGGUGGAAUUUCCUGUGUAGCGGUGAAAUGCGUAGAUAUAGGAAGGAACACCAGUGA
rnacentral:rRNA from 1 species